AUGCUUACUUCAGCAGCACAUAUACUAAAAUUGGAAUGAUACAGAGAAGAUUGGCAUGGCCCCUGCACAAGGAUGACGCGCAAAUUCGUGAAGAUUAUAAUCAGAAUUUUUU